rnacentral:tRNA from 1 species
GCGGCCAUAGCUCAGCCAGGUUAGAGCAAAUGGCUUCCACCCAUUAGGCGCGAGUUCGAUUCUCGCUGGCCGCUCCA